CACUCCUUAUACGAACAUUACACGAAUGAGUUGAAACCGACUCGUUUAUUAACAAACCGAAUACAAAUUGACUAACAAAUAUAUAUAUAUAUAUAUAUAUAGUGUAAGGCUAUUAUGCUAUCGAAAGCACGAAGCCUUUCGUGCUUUCAGCUCGUUUUCGAUAUUGCGACUUUCGAAUCGUCGAUCGGAUCCGUUAAACUUGAUCUAGAGUAUUUGGAGUACCUAAAAAAUAAAUUUUAUUAUUUUUCGAUGUCAUUUGCUUAGUGAUCGAAUGGGCUCAAAAUCAACAAAUUUCAAUGGCCGUAGUGAGUCGUUUGCAAGUUUAACGGUGUAGAAAUAUCCAAAUNAGGGCUUCUAAUAUAAAAACACUAUUUAUUUAGUUGUGAAAAAAAUAUUAUUUAUUUAAUUAUUAUAUAUAUUUAAUAUUAUUAAAUAUAUAUACAUAAAUUAUUAAUUUAAUGUUAAAACAAUUUAAUAUAUUUUUUAUUUAACAUGAAAAUUAAUACGUGCAGCGCACGUGCAUUAACUAGUUAACUUAAAGUGGCGAUUCUACCUUCACCACUAAAUUAGCCACUAUUUAAUUAUUUAUGGUGGCGAUAAAAUAAAUUGUCAUUGUUUGGUUAGCUAUAAUGACAAUAAGAAAAAUUAGCACUAAUUAAUUAAAUUUCAUUUAAUUUUUAAAUUAAAUUAAAUUAAUAUUUUAAUUUAAUUUUAAAAUUACUAAUUUAAUUUUUAAAAAAUUUAAAAAAGACCUCACUUCCCUCAGCUCACCUGCCCUCUCCCCUCCACUUCCUCUCAGCUACUCUAGAAAAAACCCAAACCCCCCGGAAAACCCAUUUCUCCCGCUCCUCUUUGACGAUCUCUCGAUGGCGAGCUCGUCAUGGCGAGCUCCUUGCCGGCGAUCUCGUCACCGGCGAGCUCCUGACCGGCGAGCUCCUCAUCGGCGACAUAGGCGACAAGCUCCUCGCCGAUGAGCUAUGCAACGAGCUCCUCAUUGCUAAUUUUCUUUCCGACGAGCCCUUCUAAACGAAGCUUCUUCUCGUCGAGCUCCUCGCAAGUGAGUCCCUCACCGCCGAUCUCCUCUCCGGUGAACCCUCUCCUUUCGCUCCUCUCUUCCACUCCAAACCCUCACCGCAGAUCUAUAUGCACUUCUCUUUGCUACGAUCGAUCUAGAUUGGUCGAAGGACGAUAAUUUUUUUCAAAUUUGCAUGAAUUUUGCACGUUAGGGUUUUGUUUUCUUUGCCCUUAUUGAUGUUGUGUAUUCUUUGUUUGAUCUCUUGUGAAAAGCACAUUUUGGUGAAAUUGGUCCUUUAUAUUCAUAGUUUUUAUCAGUUAAUACAUGCUUGUAUCUGUCCUAAUUUCGAUUAUUAACAUAUAUGAUGUAAUUUAAAUCUCCUACUCCUUUUCUCCUGCGAGCUGGGAUUUGGAGCAUCAGCAGCAGCGGAAGUGUAGCAGCAACGUAGGGUUUUACCUAAUGUGAGGCUUUCCAAUUGCUAAAUUGGAACUUGUCCAUGGGCUAGUUGAUAGAGGAGAGCUUGGGGAUCAAUUUCUUCUUCUAAAUUUCAG
rnacentral:lncRNA from 1 species